CGGCUGCGCUGCCUUGCCCGCGCCGCGGUGUCACUUCGCUCACCCCAGCUCCAGUCGUCCUGCCGGCGCGACCAGGUCUGCCCUCGCUGCGGUGGCUUCGGCGCUGGCCUGGGCCUCCAGCGGAGAAAGAGUUAACCGGGCCGGGAGGAGCCCGAAGGGGAAGGAAGGAAAUUGCCGUCGUUCUGAAAGUUUUUUCCUUCCCUUCUUCUUUCCCGGCAGAGGUGAGUGCUGGGAGGUGGCGGCGCUGACUCUCCGGAGCCCGGCUCCGCGCCUCUGCUCCCGGAGCUGCUGCCCGACUGCCUAGGGGCAGGGACAGCUGUCGCGCUCGGACCUCCUCCGCGGACCCCUUCCGAGAGGGUGCGCCCAGCCAUGGAGGGCGCGGAGCUGGCGGGGAAGAUCCUUUCCACCUGGCUGACGCUGGUGCUCUGCCUCAUCCUCCUGCCUUCAGUCUUCGGGGUGUCUUUGGGCAUCUCCGAGGUCUACAUGAAGAUCUUGGUGAAAACUUUAGAGUGGGCCACCAUACGAAUUGAAAAAGGAGUCCCAAAGGAGUCGGGUCUUAAAAACUCAGCUUCUGUCGGUAUUAUCCAAAGAGAUGAGUCACCCAUGGAAAAAGGGCUCUCUGGCCUGCGAGGAAGGGACUUUGAGCUGUCUGAUGUGUUUUAUUUCUCCAAGAAGGGCUUGGAAGCCAUUGUGGAAGAUGAAGUGACCCAGAGGUUCUCCUCAGAGGAGCUAGUGUCAUGGAAUCUCCUCACAAGGACCAAUAUAAAUUUCCAGUACAUCAGUCUGCGGCUCACCAUGGUGUGGGUGCUGGGCGUCAUAGUACGCUACUGUGUUCUACUACCCCUGAGGGUUACCUUGGCUUUCAUUGGGAUCAGUUUGUUGGUUAUAGGAACUACACUGGUUGGGCAGCUGCCAGACAGCAGCCUCAAAAACUGGCUGAGCGAACUGGUGCACCUGACUUGCUGCCGGAUCUGUGUGCGAGCCCUCUCCGGUACCAUUCAUUACCAUAACAAGCAGUACAGACCCCAGAAGGGAGGCAUUUGUGUUGCCAACCAUACUUCCCCAAUAGAUGUUUUGAUCUUGACCACGGACGGAUGCUAUGCUAUGGUUGGCCAAGUCCAUGGCGGAUUAAUGGGAAUUAUUCAGAGAGCUAUGGUCAAGGCUUGUCCACAUGUCUGGUUUGAACGCUCAGAAAUGAAGGAUCGACACUUGGUCACUAAGAGACUAAAAGAACACAUUGCUGAUAAGAAAAAGCUACCCAUAUUAAUCUUUCCUGAAGGGACUUGCAUCAAUAACACUUCAGUCAUGAUGUUUAAAAAGGGAAGCUUUGAAAUUGGAGGAACCAUACAUCCAGUUGCAAUUAAGUACAACCCUCAGUUUGGAGAUGCAUUUUGGAACAGUAGUAAAUACAACAUGGUGAGCUACCUGCUUCGAAUGAUGACCAGCUGGGCCAUCGUCUGUGACGUGUGGUACAUGCCCCCCAUGACCAGAGAGGAGGGAGAAGACGCCGUCCAGUUUGCUAACAGGGUUAAAUCUGCCAUUGCUGUGCAGGGAGGAUUGACUGAGCUUCCCUGGUCCAGGGUGCUGCUUCAGCAUGGCUCCAAGUACAGAAAAUGGCCUGCAGGAAGGAAUGAAAACAGGGACACUUCCAUCUCUUUGCGAGCACAGGAUGGACGCUGGGCAUGUCACUUCCACCUCUGCCCAUUGGCUAGACCUCAAGUGAUGUGAUAACAGCUGCAAAGAAGACCGGCGGAUGCCGUCUUUGUUCUGGAAGGCCAUAUAUCUAGCUAAGACUGAGGGUUCUUUUACUGAAGAAGAAAGUGAGAAUAGAUUUGGGAGUGGGGAAUGGACCCUGGGAGCGAGGGGCAACUGAUAGGCUUGUUCAUGUUUAAUGCUAGCUCUCACUCUAUUGAAGAUAACUUAAAAACUUGAAAGGAAAUAAAUGAAAUAUCUUAGUUAUGGAAACUUUGGAUUUAACGUUUUGCUUGUUGAGGAAGGUUGUGUGUAGUCUGCUCUGACUGUCAUAACAAACUGUCAUAGACCGGGUGGCUUAAAUAACAGAAAUGUCUUUUCUCACAGUUCUGAAGGCUGGAGGUCUGAGAUCAGGGUGCCAGCAAGAUUGGUUUCUGGUCGGAGCUCUCUCCCUUUCGGCUGGCAAAUGGCCAUCUUCUUGCCUUUGUGUGAAUAUGGGGAGAGAGGGAGAGAGAAGAGAUCAGGCUCACAGGGAUGGAGGACUGAAGAGAGCAAAGGUGAAGGACACCUUCAAGGAAGAGCAGCAGAAGAAUUACAGCAAGAUGAUUGUGGGCAAUGGACCUCUUUGAAUCGGACUCAAUGCUACCCUGGUGAUAAAAUUUGGCUUCCCAGAACCAGCCCCUAGAAAUGGAAUGCGUUGGGGGUUUUUUGGCGAGGGAGUGAAGUAUUGUUUUGUUUUACUGUUUUUGAUUUUUUGUUGUUAAUCUUUUCUACAGGCUGGAUUUUCUCUACCUCUUUAUGCCAGAGGCAGAACCCGUCGGGGGCCCUUUUCGGCUUUUGUCAUUGUUAAUAGCAUUAGCUUCAUGAAUUGUAAGGUAGUUUACUGAAUUUAAACAGAUUCUGCCUUUUGUAAAAUGAUGAUGUCAUCAUUGAUUGAAUGAAAUACUUGUGCAGGAGAAAGUGCUUCUAAAACAUUUUUGGAACUCACUGUGUUUCGAACUUGUUGAUAUGGUAAUUCUCAAAAAAAUCCCCCAUGCUCUUUUCAUGAUUAACUUUCUCACUCCUUCUCCCCACAUCUCCCCCUUCAAUCACUUAAACAGCGGGCUUCCUUGUCAGUUCAAGGUUACCCCUACAUGUUUACCCUCUACUGCAAGAUCGAAAAGAAAAAUGGAGGACGUUCUUCAGGAGAGAGAACAAAUUUGUGGCCACUUGAUCUGAAAUUUGAAAGCAAAUGUAAAUAUAUUUUUUUACUAGUGUGUUAGAAGAGCGCUACUGUCUGGUAAGCUGUACCAAAGAAAAGUGAGAGCAGGUUACUCUGUGUGUGCAUUUAUAGGUAGGCGAAUUUUGAAUAAACAGUUUUUAGCUGACAGCUGGUGAUAAAAUUUUCAGUUCCCCUUGUUGGUACACUAAGAUGUAUGUCUGGUGCCUCUCCCAUCUACUGAUUUGAUUUUGUACCGACGUAUUUUCAAACAGGAGGAGCCUUUCGCAACAAUAAAUCACAUUUGUCUUCAGCGGGGGAUGAAUGAGCCCGGUGUGUGCCCUGCCCCUCACCCUCCACCCCUCUGAGGUUUAGUUCAGAAUGUUCCCAGGGUCUUAAACAGAAAAAUAAGUGGUAAACUUACGUUUUGGAAACUGAGCCUUAAAUUUUUUAAAGGGGAAAAUAAGUGUUUCCCAACUCACACAGCAUAAGCAAUGUUUGAUAGCGAUAUAAUGCCGUGUUAAACUCUGAGAGUGUCGUAUCUUUUCUGGUAACCAUGCACAAAAUGUGAAACUGUCUUACAGUGAAUAUAAAUAAAUUCUAUAUUU